rnacentral:ncRNA from 1 species
CCAUUAACCAAGGGGUGCCGUGAGGCUGAGAUCCGUAUCUGCUGAAAGAUGCAGUAGUGGGAACCCUUAAACCUGAUCCGGAUAAUACCGGCGUAGGAAUGGUUCGGGAACCGCUC